UACGUAGGGUGCAAGCGUUUGUCCGGAAUUAUUGGGCGUAAAGGGCUCGUAGGCGGUUUGUCGCGUCGGGAGUGAAAACUCAGGACUUAACCCUGAGCCUGCUUCCGAUACGGGCAGACUAGAGGUAUGCAGGGGAGAACGGAAUUCCUGGUGUAGCGGUGAAAUGCGCAGAUAUCAGGAGGAACACCGGUGGCGAAGGCGGUUCUCUGGGCAUUACCUGACGCUGAGGAGCGAAAGUGUGGGGAGCGAACAGG
rnacentral:rRNA from 1 species